rnacentral:lncRNA from 10 species
UAGAGCCUCCAGUCACACCGUUGUCUGAGAACCUGCUGGCCCUUGUACCACUCAUUUAAAUUCAUACUCAACUAGGAUUCUCCAGCGCUUUACAUGUCUCCUGGAGAAUGCAUAGAAAGUGCUGGGGCCAUGGUGGUGAACAAAAUAAAGUCUAUGUUUUCAUGAAGCUUACUUUCCAGUAAGGUUAGAAAGAAGUUGAAGAACCAAAAAUGUGUAGACUGACGGGAAAGGGAAUGGAAGGGAAUAGUCAUUGAACCGACAUCUCAUUUCCCUUACAGUGUCUCCACCACUCAGAAGGUGCCAAGUACCAUGUGGAUAUUUUACCUUCAUUCAUUAUGUCAUUCAAUCCUUAUCACACUCUGAGGUAGGCAGGAUUUCAAAUGCCCAUAGGGGCCAGCGGACUAUGCAAAAGUGUAUGGAGGCAAACUGGACAGCACUAAGUCUUCCAAAGGGACAUCUACUGCUCAGCUACAGCUAGCUGUUGCCAUGUGAGAGCAGGAGUUCACUGCUGCUAGAUCUUUCCUUUUUCGAGAAAAACCUCAAGUCCAUUUUUAUGUGAAAUCUGAUUUUUUGAAAAGUUGGGUCAAUUUAAAAUCUCUCUGUAGCAUUUGUGAAAUGACAUAUGUAUAAGAUCAUUACAAAACAGUUGUUUGUAAUAGCAAGAGAUUGGAAACAACCCAAAUGUCAAUCAACAGUGGAAUGUAUCAGCAAAUUGUGGUCCAUCUUACAUAACUACUCUACAGCCUGGAAGAGUGGCAAAGAAGCUUUUUAUGCAAUAAUAUGAAACAGACUUCACAACAUUGUUAAAUGAAAAAAGCUAGGUGCACCUUUGUGUGUAAUAUCCUACCAUAUGUGUAAAGGAA